rnacentral:snRNA from 1 species
GCACUAGGUUCAGCAGCACAUGUUAACACUGGAAUGAUGCAGAGAUGAGUAAGGCCCCAGCACAAGGAAGACACACAAAUGGGUGGUGCAUCCAUAGUUUAA